rnacentral:rRNA from 1 species
AGCGAACGCUGGCGGCAGGCUUAACACAUGCAAGUCGAGCGGGCGUAGCAAUACGUCAGCGGCAGACGGGUGAGUAACGCGUGGGAACGUACCUUUUGGUUCGGAACAACACAGGGAAACGUUAGUUGCUAAUACCGGAUAAGCCCUUACGGGGAAAGGAUUUAUCGCCGAAAGAUCGGCCCGCGUCUGAUUAGCUAGUUGGUGAGGUAACGGCUCACCAAGGCGACGAUCAGUAGCNGGUCUGAGAGGAUGAUCAGCCA